CAGCAGCCGCGGGAAUACGAAGGGUGCAAGCGUUAAUCGGAAUUACUGGGCGUAAAGCGCGCGUAGGUGGUUCAUUAAGUUGGAUGUGAAAGCCCUGGGCUCAACCUGGGAACUGCAUCCAAAACUGGUGAGCUAGAGUACGGUAGAGGGUAGUGGAAUUUCCUGUGUAUCGGUGAAAUGCGUAGAUAUAGGAAGGAACACCAGUGGCGAAGGCGACUACCUGGACUGAUACUGACACUGAGGUGCGAAAGCGUGGGGAGCAAACAGGAUUAGAUACCCGGGUAGUCCCUGUCUCUUAUAC
rnacentral:rRNA from 1 species